rnacentral:lncRNA from 1 species
CUGUGAACUUUCCAUUUCUAAGUAGCAACAUUCCAGCAGCACCUGCAUACGGGGUAUAUAUCUCCCAAUUGAUACGAUAUUCCCGUGCUUGCAUUUCCUAUCAUGAUUUUCUUGAUAGAGGAUUACUGCUCACAAGGAAGCUAUUAAACCAAGAGUUCCAAAUGGUGAAGUUGAAAUCAUCCCUUCGUAAAUUUUACGGACGCCAUCACGAGUUGGUUGACCAUUAUGGAAUAACCGUUUCACAAAUCAUAUCGGAUAUGUUCCUUACGUCGUAACUACAAUCCCCUUCCCUUUCAUGAAUGUGACCUACCGAAUUAGACUAUUUACCGGAU